rnacentral:rRNA from 1 species
AACGAACGCUGGCGGCAGGCCUAAAACAUGCAAGUCGAACGCUCUAGCAAUAGAGAGGGGAGCACGGGUGCGUAACACGUGGGAACAUACCCUUGGGUACGGAAAAACGCAGGGAAACUUGAGCUAAUACCGUAUAAUGACUCCGGUCCAAAGAUUUAUCGCCCAGGGAUUGGCCCGCGCCUGAUUAGGUAGUUGGUGAGGUAAUGGCUCACCAAGCCUACGAUCAGUAGCUGGUCUGAGAGGAUGAUCAGACACACUGGGACUGAUACGCGGCCCAGACUCCUACGGGAGGCAGCAGUUAGGAAUAUUGUACAAUGGGGGAGACCCUGAUCCAGCCAUGCCGCGUGAGUGAUGAAGGCCUUCGGGUUGUAAAGCUCUUUUAGAUGUGACGAUGAUGACGGUAACAUCAGAAAAAGCCCCGGCUAACUUCGUGCCAGCAGCCGCCGUAA